AAGGGAGUAAGAAAGCAAAAAGAACAGAUGAAGGAAAACUUAACAACUUUCCGGUGGUUUGAUUCCUCCUUUGAUUUCUUUUUCGGUUCUCUUUUGUCUGUCCUCUCUCCUCCUCUCGUUCCUCUCUUCUCCCUCCUUCCUCUCUCCUCCCUCUCCCUUUGCUCUCCUCUCUCCUCUCAUAAUCUUGUUCUUUCUGUGUCUCUCCUCAAACCAAAGUGUUGCAGUGAAGGACACGAGCCAUUGAAAUCAGGGUGGGGCCUGACAGCCACAGUGUGGCCCCCGCCCCUCGCUGGGCAGGAGCAGAGAGAGGGGAGAGCCCUGAGACCACAGGGCUUUGGCCUGGGCAGCUUCCACUUUCUGCCGGACACUCCAAGGAGAGGCAGAUGGAGCCCCAGGCCUCAGCGUUCUCUUUUUUCCUUGUCUCCCUUCUCCCACCCGGGAAAUGAAACUGUUGGGCUGGGCCACGGAGGCAGCAGAGACUCGGCCAUUGCAGGGGCCUCCGGGUGCCUUGUCCGGGCAGUGGUGGAGUAGCCGCCCCUCCCACCCCUGGCACGAUGGGGCCUGGCACCUUGUUGACCCAUCCUCGCCGGAAUGUAAGCAUCUCCGCUGAAUGACUCCCUGCCCUUACCCUACCUCUGAGUUUGUCCAUGUUUAUUUCCUGAAGAGAGAAGGGACUGGCAAGAGGGCUUGGGCCCCAGCCCAAGGGUGGAGAGGGGGCCAAGGGCUCCUGACCAAAUAGGAAGGACAUUUGAGCAGAGCAAAAUGAAAGGAAUUACAACCAAAAACCCCCUCCGAGAAGACAGGCAGCAUGGAAGGCAUGGUGGAGAUGACUCAAACAAAAACUAUGAUUCUAGACCAAAAAGGAAAAAAAAAAAAAAAAAGUAAAGAAAAUCCAGGACUCACCACCACCCACUUCAUCCUGCUUCCUCCCCAUCAAGUCCCACCACCUGGGACCUCUCCCCACCCCAGUAUGGGGUAGUGGGGCAAAGAGAAGAGGAGGAGCAGGGGGCAGGGAUGGGGCAGAUGCCCUGACGUUGGUGGAGGGACCCCUGUGCAGCCAGGGGUGCUGGGGACCCUCCCCAUCCAACCCUCACACCUAGGAAAAGAAAAACAAGAAAAAAGAAAAUUCCUGGGAGGGGGAAAAAUAACCAAAUCCCAAGCUUUAACUACAGCUGUGAAACCAAAUAUUGGGAAGGGGGUAGGAGGGAGGGAGGGGCAGGUGAGCCCCAGGUCUCCCCCCUGGGCCCCCCUCCCCCGAGGACUCGAGAUAAGGCACCAAAUACCUCAUAGAACUUUAAUGUUAAAAAAAGGAAACCAAAUAUCGUUGGCUGGGGGCCAGCCAGGGCAAGGGGCUGGGGGGCUGGAGGGAGCCAGGGUUGGGAAGGUGAUGGGGGAAUUCAUGCCCCCCACCCCCAUCUGCCUCUUCCACUCUGGUCCCCCGUCUCGACUCCGGGAAACAAAACUAUCUCAUCGUUUUUAUUUUGUGGUCUGUACAGAGCCUGUGUCCGUGUGUCUGUGUGUGAGCGAGAGAAUUGGAGGGCAGGGGAGCUUUAUGUGGGGGAUGGGGAGGGAAACCCCAGGCUAGGCUAUGGGCUAGGUUAGAUGGCCGAGGUUGGGAGCUGAGGGCCUGGGCUGGAAAGAGAGGAGAGAUGAGUGGAUUGGAGCAGUGGGGAGCCCUCUGAAUUUCUCUUCUCCCCAACCUUGACCUCCUACUUAAGGGAGGGACAGAGACUGGGUCUACCCUAAUGGUAGGCCUUUUCAUUGUGCCAAAAAAAAAAAAAAAAAAACUGAUGCCAGUAACUAAACCACCUCUCUCUGUUCUCUUCUGGGGGGUGGGGUGGGUGUGUGUGUGUUGGGGUGGGUAGGGAUGGGGAACCCAAGCCCCAGUAGGAGUUGGGGCUGAGAUCAGGAGGAGGGGAAGGAUAUGAGUUUUCUACCCAUCUCCCUGGAGAAGGCCAUGAUGGGCUCUCCAAGCCCUGGGGAGAUUUGGCGAGGGACUAGCCAAGUCAGGGUGACCUCUUGACCUGACUAGUUUUUCUAACCCACCCGAAUACCAGGGUGCCUCUCUCUUCCUCUAGCCCAGGGUAGGGGGACCUGAGUGAGAGAGAGAGUGAGACAGACAGCAAGAUUGAGACACGCGGGCCCCCACUGGUCUCUGAGUGGGAAAGGCAAGUGCGAGAGAUAAAGGCCUCCAA